GAAAAUUAAUCUAGAUAAUUUAUUGUCUGGGAAUUAAUGAAUUUUCCGUCAUCUUUUUGUUGAUGGUAAUUUGAAAUUAAUGCUAGGUCUUUGCUUGUAAAAGACGCGUUUAUGUACAUUGUAUAAUCUUCGCAACUAAUCAAGCUGUCUCUGCUAGUUUAAUUAUCCCUUUUGAAAGAAUAAAAAGGAUAUUAAACAAUACUUUCUUAAAUAA
rnacentral:misc_RNA from 1 species